rnacentral:rRNA from 1 species
GAUGAACGCUGGCGGCGUGCCUAAUACAUGCAAGUCGAGCGAACAGACGAGGAGCUUGCUCCUCUGACGUUAGCGGCGGACGGGUGAGUAACACGUGGAUAACCUACCUAUAAGACUGGGAUAACUUCGGGAAACCGGAGCUAAUACCGGAUAAUAUAUUGAACCGCAUGGUUCAAUAGUGAAAGACGGUUUUGCUGUUACUUAUAGAUGGAUACGUGGCGCCUUAGCUAGUUGGAAGGGAACGGCUUACCAAGGCAACGAUGGGUAGCCGACCUGAGAGGGUGAUCGGCCACACUGGAACUGAGACACGGUCCAGACUCCGACGGGAGGCAGCAGUAGGGAAUCUUACGCAAGGGGCGAAAGCCUGACGGAGCAACGCCGCGUGAGUGAUGAAGGUCUUCGGAUCGUAAAACUCUGUUAUUAGGGAAGAACAAAUGUGUAAGUAACUAUGCACGUCUUGACGGUACCUAAUCAGAAAGCCACGGCUAACUACGUG